UUUAGGGAGGAAGGACUCUCUAAGAUGAACAACACACAAGAUUUACAUGAAGUGACCUACUUCCUGGACUGGCCACUUUAAGAAAAAUGAAAAUAUGGUUAUGUCACUGUUGAAUCUUAUCUUUCUUGUCUGUAAAAUUACAAUUAUUUGUCUUUAAUUGUGAAAUUAGCAAUUGGCAAGUAUAUCCCACCUAUGACAUUGCUGGAUGAGCCUUCCUUCACAGCAACCUUUAAUAUUUAUAAGUAUUAAAAUAUUAUGCUUUUAUGUCAAAUUACAUCAAUGUGAUGCAUCAAAAAAUAAUUUGCUUAAAUACAAAGCUCAGAAACACAGCCACACUUUUGACCUUCACUGCAGCUCCCUACAGUUUUAAUGCAUCGGUUUUAUGAAGGCAACUCGUUUCCAUCUCUGGCGUGUAACUUGAGCGCUUUGUGUCAUCCCACUUUUGGAGUAAAGUGCCUAGUCAAACUAAAGGUCCUAUGACUAGAUUUUGCUAUUUCACAAUUCACAGAAAUGCUUG